GUCUACAUCCAUGUCACCGUGAACAAGCCCGAUGUCUGAUCUCGGAAGCUGUGCAGGGUCAGGCCUGGUUAGUACUUGGAUGGGAGACCACCUAGUAAGACCAGGUGCUGUAGGCA
rnacentral:rRNA from 1 species